rnacentral:SRP_RNA from 1 species
GCUAGACGGGGAGCUAGCGGUGCCCUGUAACCCGAAAUCCGCUCAUGCGGGGUUGAAAGUCCUUCAGGAGAACCGAGGAGCGGGACGUCUUCUGCGCCAGCAGGAGAGGAGAUGGACCACACGUGACGAACGCUUAUGAACCCCGUCAGGUCCGGGAGGAAGCAGCGGUAAGUAAGGCGGUUCGUGUCGUGAUGACCUCUAUCUCCCACCUCCGGGGCUGCAGGGGCGGCGUCGUCCCGGUUUGAAUGAAGGAUGCACGG